AAGCAAUGGAAGUCAGAAGAAAGGUGGGUACCAGACGAGCAGUGGAAGUCAGAAGGGAGUGUCGUGCAGGGACGAGCAGAGGCUCUUGAUACUCUGUCUCUUCCUUCUUUAAAUCUGGAAGCAAACACAAGCAAGCACAAGCAAGCACAUUCCAUUCUGAAUUCUAGUCCAUGCCUGCCGUGUGGACAAAUGGCAGCAGGAAUGCGGCUAAGGCUCCAGGAGCUUUCUUCUAUCUGUCUUCCUGCCCCUUAGUGUCCUUGUAAAUGCCUGAUCACGCCACACGGAGGCCUGCUUUAGGAGGCGCUUGUUUCUGGAAGUUGUAAAGGCAAAGGGGGGCAUUUAGAAUUACAACAACGAGUCCAGACUUGGCUCUGUGACCUUGGACAAAUGAUCAAACCUCUUGAAGUUUUAACGGUGCCAUGGACAGAGUUUAACUCCCGUGAGCUGUAAUUGAGAGAAAAAAAAAAACAUAUAGAGAGGACUGACGUGUAAAACAACCCAGUCUCCACAGGGAGGAGCCAAGUGAGGUCAGGGGAGGCUUCCCUGCGAGCACCAGCUGCAGGUGCCAAGAGCUGUUUAAAGCAGAGGAAACUGGGUCACUGGCUGAGAAAGCGAUUGAGUUCUACUUUCUGUCAGAGGCCAGCAGUGCAAGGUUCCACCCUGUCUCCUUAAACAUGUGUCCUUCUGUAGCCUUAGCUGCUGAGAGGACUCUAGGUGGCACCUGUGACUUUCCAUCCUCCCCGGCUCCCUAAAUUCAGCUGUCAGUCAUUCUGCUCACCACCUUGAGUGGUCCUCAGCUACCGCGUACUUCCCAUGGUCCUUUCUAGUCAUCUGGCCAAGUCCUAACCCUGCCUUAGGUCUCCACCUUACCUCAUGCCUUCAUCCAAGGAAGAAUGGCCUGCACUUCCUUGACCAGUGCUAGCACGUUGGUGUGUCUCCCUUCAUAUGUUGAAACUGAAUCAUCGAUUAAGAAAUGGGGUUUUGGGGAAAACAACGGAGUCAUGAGGGUUCUGCCUUCCUGAAUGCGAUUAGUUCCUUUAUAAAGGAGCCCUAAGAGAGCGUGCAUUCCCACUUCUGUCCCAUGGCUGUGUGAGAACUCAGCAAGAGGCACUAUCUAGGGCUUGGGUAGAGUUCAAUGGUAGAGCAUCCAAGGCCCUGCUUUUUAUUUCUCUCACAAUAACAACAGCAAAAAAGUGUGGAGGAAAACCCUUUUUGAGAACAUCCUGUCUACUGGUGUGUUCAUCAUGGCCUCUCUAAGCCCUGGAACUGACCAGUAAAUCUCUACUGUUCGUAAGUUGUCCAGUCAAAGAUAUUGUGUUGUAGUAGCCUGAAUGGACUAAGGCGUCUGGUCUCAGUGCAAAUUUAUAGCGGUCCCCAGGCUUCUCAGCAGUACUGUCAAGUUCCCACGGCCUUUAUCAUCAUCUUUCUGCUUACUUUAGGCUGAUGGAAAGAGAAGACGGGGACCCCCUGUGACCUUGGUGUCCUCUCCUCCAGCUGCAUAUGAAUAGAAAGCAUCUCAACCAGACCUCCCUCCUUCCCCCUCUCUCUUUCUUUUCUGAUGUUCUCGGAGACAGGGCCUUACCGGGUUGCCCAGUCAGCCCUUGAACUGAAGGUCCUCCUGCCUCAUCUUCCGAGCAGUGGGAUUACAGACCGGUACUACCAUUUCGGUAUACCUGUCUCCUCUGAAAAGCGUGGCUCAUUUCUCCCUAAAAAGACAUUCUUACUCAGUCAAGUCCACAGAGCCUGCUGGAAAAGAAACAGGGCCGGUAAUGCCGGGCAGCUGACGGGAGCUUGCGGUAAGUGGAUGGGGAUACUCAAGUCAUAGCCAGUUUUUACUCUUUGAUGGGCAAGCCAUCUGAGAUUUUUCUGAUGACGAUAUGGUGAUGUAUUUUAAAGUGGUGGGAAGGCAUAUCCAUGAAAUAAAAUCCAACACAUUUAAUCGGUGAUUUUUAAAGCAUCACAAUGAUCGAAUUACACAGAAAUGUACUUCCCUGUGUAUUACUCACCUGCCGAUAGUUGGGGGGGGGGACUACAAUGGACGACGGGACUACAAACAUCCUCCUUAAUAACUUUUUUCUCCUUCCUUCUUCCAGGUACUUGUCAUAAAAUUACAGCCUUACAACUUUAAGUUUUACCCCUGUUUAUUUACUUGUGUAGGUAAGGAGGUGCAUGUGUGGAGGUCAGAGUAGAACCCCGGGGAGUCUGUCUCUGGGAAUCAAACCCCAGACAUCCAGGCUUGGUGGCAAAAGCCUUUACAAACCUCGGAGCCGUCUGCCAGUCAAUAGCUUUAAUUUUAAUGUAACUAUUAAUAUUUCGAUUUUAAUCCAGAGAGAGUCCCAGAUGCACCUUCAACCCUCUCUUUUUCUAUAAGGUUUAAAGUUUUGAGCUUUCACAAAAGCAAAUCCUUCCAUUUCAGACUGAAAUCAGGCUUGCUCUUCUUUGUACUGGGAGUUGCUUUGCCCUGCUGUUUAUUAGUUCAGGUCAGGUUCCCUCCCCUCCCCUUACUCCACUCAGCUGGGGAGGCCGCUGGUGGGCACCCUCUGGGCUGGGCUGGGCUGGGCUUGGAAUCCCUCUUCGAUUUUGCCAGCUACCAGACUGCAUUCCGUCUCCUCGGGCUCCACCUAGCGGGCUGAAGUGGCCAGUACUGCCGUCAUCGGGUUUGUUUCCUAUCUCCCAGUAGCAUAAGGUGCAGUUUUUCCUAAACCGAUUCUCUUCAUUUGUUCGGAUUACUGGAUUAUAAACUACAGGAUUCCCCCAAAAGAGCCAGAGGCUGGCAAAAUCCAAGGUCAGGAUGCCAACAGGUUUGCGGUGUGGUUGGCUCUGGCAGUCUCAUAAAUGACACUUUCUUACAGCUUGCCACGUGGUGGAAGAACUUGCAGGGGUUCUCAAGCCGGGAGUCAAAGGACCCUUUCCUAGGGGUUGCCUAAGACAAUCAGAAAACACAGAGAUUUGCGUUACGAUUCAUAACAGUAGCAAUAUUACAGCUAUGUAGUAGCAAUGGCAAUAAUUUUAUGAUUGGGGGUCACCACAACAUGAGGAACUGUAUUAGUGGGUUGUCACAUUAGAAGGCUGAGAACCAUAGGACUAGAGAGUCUCCCGAAGGUCCUGUUUCACUGGGCACGAAUCCAAUUCAUAGACAUCUGCCCUCUUAAUCCAGUAGGAAUCAUCUUCCAAAGAGGACUCCUCCUCCUGUCGUUAUUGACUUGGGGGCGGGGGCGGAGAUACGUCACAACAGUCUGUGGCAGUUAGACUUAACUGGCUGCUCUUUUCUUGAACAAACUGAAAAGGGUUUAUCAUUGAACCUCAUGGACACAUUGCUUUAUUACUCAGGCUAGGAGGGACCAUCAGAAAAUGUAGCCUCUGUUCACGGCACUGACACCCAAAUUGCUGGUCUUUUAUAGAAUAGGUGUUAUUAUUAUUGGGAGACACACAUACCAUGGCACAUGUGGAGGCCAGAGGACAGCUUUGUGGGGUCAGUUCUUUCCUUCCACCUUUGUGGACCCUACACAAGUUGUUGGACUUCGAGGGCCAGUGCUGAACAGUCUCGAGGAGCCUUGACUGCUGUUUUUAGUAUGCAAAAUUUGCCUUUCUGAAGACCUUCUGGAAUCACGGGAACUGGCCAGUGCCUUGGGUUCCAGAUAUAUUUCCAGGAAGGAGCCUACCUGAGUUUGAAGGUCAGCGCAUGGAACACACUAACAUUUAGAGUUGGGGAUGUGAAGAAACACCAUGAGGGAAGUGAUCCAGAUAAGAGCAGACCUCUGAAUGACGUCAGCUCACCUUGUGGGCAGAAGUGUGGCCUUUGCUGGGAACAUGACGAAUGGGACCGUCGAAGGGAGUGAGCCGAGAACUGGAAAUUGACCAUGGUGUUUAGCCGUGUGGAAGUUAUCGUUGACCUUGACUGGUGCAAAUCAGUGAAGUGCUAACGGAAAGGCGGACGGCAACACUUUAUCUGCAGGGUUAUGUAGCAUCAAAGAGACUUACCUCACAUGUGCAGGAAUCUGCUCUGACUGUCAGCACACGCCUUACCGAUUCUGCCAAGCCACAUGACUGGAAGUCAAACAAAAGAGUUGAAAGCAACUAGUGACUCUCAGCUACCAUUCCAGCACCAUAUCAGCCUGCACACUGCCAUGUUCCCCACCACGAUGAUAAUGGGCUAAAUCUCAAAACUGUAAGCAAGUCACCCCAAUUAAAUAUUUUCCUUCAUAAGAGUUGCCAUGGUCAUGGUGUCUCUUCACAGCAAUAGAAACCCUAAGACACCAGGUGUGAAGAUCAGUCUUCAUUGCCAACUUGGCUGCAUUUGGGAUCAUCAGGAGGCAUACUUCUGCACAAGUGUGUACAGAUGUUUCUACACCUCAGCCCAAACUGCCUCUGUCUGCAUGGCAUCCCACUAUGAUGGACUGUAAUCCUCUGAAUUGUGAGACACAAAUAAGACUUCCUUCAAGUAGUUUUCUCCAGGGCUAGAAUCAAAGGCGUGCAUCACUGGGAUUAAAGGCAUGCACCACCCGAUUUCUAUGGCAACUAGUGUGGCUACUGGGAUUAAAGAUGCACGUCAUUGUGGCUACUGGGAUUAAAGGUGUGUAUUACCAUAAGGCUGUAAGGCUGACCAGGGGGGCUGUUUUACUCUCAGAUCUUCAGGCAGUCUUUAUUUAUUAAAAUACAUUUGAAAUGCCACUACAGGGUGUAAAGGAUUUCUACAGUAACUUCACACAGACAGGCCAAUGCUCUUCAUUUCAAGUGCUCUUUGCUGUUCUCUUUCUACUCUAAUACUCCCGUUCUACUUCUAGCUUGUCCACGCUUCUUCUCUUAUACUCAAAACUCUUCUCCUACAGGAGCCUUGAAGCGAUAAGGAGCUGAGCCACUCGCCAUGGUAACACAAAGAUCCAAGGUCAUAGGAGCAAAACCUCAACCAGAGAGGGGGGCACAGUGCCCAACGACAACUUUGAGACACAGAUCCUUUGUUAGUAGACCGUCAAGUGAAAAAUAGGCAUGCCUUAAGGUUAAUGUGAGGUUAGCAUGGGACAUCGCUUUUCUAUCUGCUGGCAGAGGGAAUGCCGGACUCUUGUUCUCUCUCUGAGAAGUUAUGGUUUGACAGCUUCAGGCAUGCCGUAAUUCUUGUCUUUGGGCAUCUGUGAAUGUCUCAAGUGAGGUCUCUUUGCCUGGGCACUAACAUUGAUCAACUGUCUGUCAAGGAAGAUAAUUGCAGGAAGGCAGACUUCUAAGCUUAUACAAAGACCUUGUUGAGAGAGUAAGAGGGUUGACUGUGAUUACUUUCUUGCCAGGAUCAGGCAGGCACUGCUGGGGGGACUCAUCCGAUAGCUGUAAUGUGAGGAAAACAGCUCUUCACACAAGAAGCCUGCCAUGGGGACAGCUUGACACAUUCAGAAGGUAGUAUUCCUCAUUGUCUUGCAGAGAAGUUUGGUGAGAUGUGCUUCUCUGGUGACAAUACUCCUCAUCGCCUUGCUAAAUGAGGUGUGUCCUCCAUGAGACUUGCUCUCUGAUGAGCUGACUCCAGCAGUAUGUGCUGAACUAACUCUCACUGCAUAAUUCUACAGUCUGUAGCAACAUUUUUAAGUGUGUGUGUGUGUGUGUGUGUAUACAGUUAGACUGUCGGUCGUUAGAUUUCCUGUUUCCUCAAAACUUUACCAGCACAAUGCACUGCGAAAUGUUAGAAUUUUAAAAAUUAAUGUGAUUAAAAUAUAUGCACGGAGUGAUUUUUAACUCGUGUGAAAACACGUAAAUACGAGAUAGGAAGUUGAGGACCUGCAUGGGUCGAAUGCCUGUAAUCUCAGCACUCAAGAGGCAAAGGCAAGAGGAUUGCUGUAAGUUUGAAGCCAGCUUGGACUUCAGAAUGAGAAGCUGUCUCAAAACAAACAAACACAAAAGACUUGGCCAGUAGAAAUGCCACCAAAUUUCAGUUGAUCUUAAAGAAAUGAGUUCGUUGGAGCAUUUUCCAAGUAAAAAUCUGUCAGCUAGAUAAUAUCUGAUACUUUCAUAAAUCACAGAUGACACUGGGUCAGAAAUUUUUUUUUUUUUACAAUCCAAACGAAGUUUUCUAUCAGUCAAACUCAAGGACUCUUGGCAGUUGCCCUUGAGUUACUCAAUUUUGAACCAGACAGAUCAAUGCUCUGUUUCUGAGAUUUGCCCUAUCAAGCCCAGGGCAUCUUCAACUAAAUUUAUUCUUUUGUUUUUCUCUGAUCUUCUCUGCAUUUUAAUAACCUUCAAUAAAUCACCACAUAUUCAUCAACUCUAAAAGCAAAAAAUCCACCUAUCCUAGAAUAAAAUGAUAAGCAACAAGAUGAACAACAGGACAAGGGGAUAUUCCUUUUAAUAUUAAUCCUUUGCCUCUCCCUCCCCUUUCCCUCCUCCCUUCCUUCAUUCCUCUCUUUCUUUCUUUCUUUCUUUCUUUCUUUCUUUCUUUCUUUCUUUCUUUCUUUCUUUCUUUCUUUCUUCCUUUCUAACAUCCCCAUAGCAAGCAGAAACAUUUCUUUAAAAUAAACAGAAAUGGAAAAGUGUAAAUUCUAUUUUAUUAUCCUUCCGAGUGUAAAAUCAAAUCAAUUCAUUUUAUAUGUGAAAUAUAUACUGCAUCUGCUAGGAUUGCAUGGACUUAAAAACAACUAUACCAAGAACAUCUAAUGUCAUUUC